rnacentral:rRNA from 1 species
GGGUGCGUAACGCGUAUGCAACCUACCUCAUACUGGAGAAUAGCCCUUGGAAACGAGGAUUAAUACUCCAUGGUAUCAUUCUUUCGCAUGUUAGAAUGAUUAAAGAAUUUCGGUAUGAGAUGGGCAUGCGUCCCAUUAGCUAGUUGGUGAGGUAACGGCUCACCAAGGCGACGAUGGGUAGGGGGCCUGAGAGGGUGGUCCCCCACACUGGUACUGAGACACGGACCAGACUCCUACGGGAGGCAGCAGUGAGGAAUAUUGGUCAAUGGAGGCAACUCUGAACCAGCCAUGCCGCGUGAAGGAUGACGGCCCUAUGGGUUGUAAACUUCUUUUAUAUGGGAAGAAACUUAUCUACGUGUAGAUAACUGACGGUACCAUACGAAUAAGGAUCGGCUAACUCCGUGCCAGCAGCCGCGGUAAUACGGAGGAUCCAAGCGUUAUCCGGAUUCAUUGGGUUUAAAGGGUCCAUAGGCGGAUUUUUAAGUCAGUGGUGAAAGCCGGCAGCUCAACUGUCGAACUGCCAUUGAUACUGGAAAUCUUGAGUACAAAUGAAGUAGGCGGAAUGAGUCAUGUAGCGGUGAAAUGCAUAGAUAUGACUCAGAACACCGAUUGCGAAGGCAGCUUACUAACAUGUAACUGACGCUGAGGGACGAAAGCGUGGGGAGCGAACAGGAUUAGAUACCCUGGUAGUCCACGCCGUAAACGAUCAUCACUCGCUGUUGGCGAUAUACUGUCAGCGGCCAAGCGAAAGUAUUAAGUGAUGCACCUGGGGAGUACGCCGGCAACGGUGAAACUCAAAGGAAUUGACGGGGGCCCGCACAAGCGGUGGAGCAUGUGGUUUAAUUCGAUGAUACGCGAGGAACCUUACCAGGGCUUAAAUGUAGUAUGACCGGUCUGGAAACAGACCUUCCCUUCGGGGCAGAUUACAAGGUGCUGC